rnacentral:tRNA from 1 species
GCACCCGUAGCUCAGCUGGAUAGAGCAUCCGCCUUCUAAGCGGAGGGUCAGAGGUUCGAAUCCUCUCGGGUGUG